UACGAAGGGGGCUAGCGUUGUUCGGAUUUACUGGGCGUAAAGCGCACGUAGGCGGAUCGUUAAGUCGGGGGUGAAAUCCUGGAGCUCAACUCCAGAACUGCCUUCGAUACUGGCGAUCUUGAGUCCGGAAGAGGUGAGUGGAACUCCUAGUGUAGAGGUGGAAUUCGUAGAUAUUAGGAAGAACACCAGUGGCGAAGGCGGCUCACUGGUCCGGGUACUGACGCUGAGGUGCGAAAAGCGUGGGGGAGCAAACAGGGAUUAAGAUACCCC
rnacentral:rRNA from 1 species